UUGGAGACUAAGAAAAUAGAGUCCUUGAAGUGAAGCUGACUCUGCUUUUAGCCUCCUAAAUGAAAAGCUAGAUAGAACAGGUCUUGUCUGUAAAAUAAAUUUCAAGACCUACUUACCAACAGUG
rnacentral:snoRNA from 1 species